rnacentral:rRNA from 1 species
CACAAGCGGUGGAGCAUGUGGUUUAAUUUGAUGCAACGCGAAGAACCUUACCUGGUCUUGACAUAGUAAGAACUUUCCAGGGAUGGAUUGGUGCCUUCGGGAACUUACAUACAGGUGGUGCAUGGCUGUCGUCAGCUCGUGUCGUGAGAUGUUGGGUUAAGUCCCGCAACGAGCGCAACCCUUUUCCUUAUUUGCCAGCGGGUUAAUCCGGGAACUUUAAGGAUACUGCCAGUGACAAAUUGGAGGAAGGUGGGGACGACGUCAAGUCAUCAUGGCCCUUGAGCAUAGGGUUACACACGUGCUACAUUGGUCGGUACAAAGGGUUUUUCCCUCCCGAGAGGAUACUAAUCUCAAAAAUCAUAUAGUAGUCCGGAUCGGAGUGGUCACCUGGUUUCCAUGAAGUGGGAAUCGCUAGUAAUCCAUGCUCAGAAAGACGUGGUGAAUCCGUUACCGGGCGUUUACACACCUCCUGUCACGUCAGCGGAGUAGGUAACGCCACAAGUAGCUAGUCUACCCUCAAGGAGCACGCUUUAAGCCGGCGUGGCAGAGGUCAGUGGGGAACUUGUUCCAAGUUU